rnacentral:misc_RNA from 1 species
CGCAAAUCCAGACCUUCCUGGAGGGACAACGGCACGCACGUUUUACAUAGCGAGAAAGAGAGAAAAAAACGAAAUCACAGCAACGCAGCCGCACUCUUGUACAGGCACGAGCAGACGCGUGCGCAUGCACACGCGCUACCGGCGGCUUGUAGCACAUCGUGGGAGCAACCAAAGUAGCCACGCGCCAGUGCAAGUGGAACUGCUCGAUCGCAAGUGCGAGUCACUAGCAAUUUCUCGGCACGCGGGGAAAGCUCUGUAAGUGUGCGUGUGUAGGUGAGCGUGUAAAAGGAGGCACACGAUGAGUCGACAUGGCUACGGCUACUACGAGGAUGACGACAAGGGCUCCUGGUGGAUACAGCCGAAACGCGCGUACAGGCCGUUUGGACCAUUCCGUCUCGUCUCCACGCUGAUGGUGGCCGUUGCCAUUGGCUUCAUCGCCUUCGGCCUCGCGUGCGCAGUAAUGUUUGUCGCCGAAGUCGCGGAGGAGCACCCGUCGCGCACCAAGUGGAUUCUUCGUGCUCUCAUCUUCUUCAACUUUGCCGUGCACGCGUCCAUUCUUGUCGUAGAUCAGAUGAGCUGGUGGCGAUCGUUGCUCAGCCUCUUGGUGAAUGUGUUGUACUUGCGACUGCUGCGCACCUUCCCGUUUGUGCCGGGCAUGAACAGCCCGCUUGUGCUGGCGACGAUGCUGGCGGUGCUGCUGGAGAGCGCCAUGUGGUACUGGUUCGCACUGCGACUUAUGUACUACACGUCCAUACUGUUGGUUUUUGGCUUCUUCCUGAUGCUGUGGCUCGUGCCGAUUGGGCUUCUGUCGUCAUGCGUCAUAGAAGAUGAUCGGCUGCCGGGCGGCGGUGGCGCGGGGGCGAUGUACAGUUGUAGUCGCGGCUGCGCAUCCGGCGGCGGCUCAUCCGCGCCGGACGCUAUGGCGGGUGGGCGUCGGAGGCGCACCAUUCUCAAUCGUCUAGCGGACCUGAUUAACAACACCUAGACACGCAGAAUUGGUGGCAAACACACACACACACACACACACAUACACACACGCUUCGGCUGUCCGCUCCUUCACCUCUUCUCCGGUGCUGCGUUGCUCUCGCUGACGCGGUUUGCAUGCCGUUGAUCUGAUUGGCAUUUCACGGCAUCUUUGCGUACAUUAUAUAUGCGUGUGUGCGCAUAUAUCUAUCUAUAUAUAGAUAGAUAAUGUCUGCGCGCGAUCAGGCUCUUUUUCUUUCUCCUCCCCCGAAGUCGCGGUGGGCGGCCACGAUGGUGGCCCGCCUUUGCCCAUACGAUAUCCGCUAUUUUUCGUCCCGCACUACCAGUCACCGCCACCAUACACACGCACGCGCAUCGUCUCUCAGCUUCCUCCUUCAUGUCUACGCGCGUAUGUUUUUCGCUCUCCACCGCAACGCCCGAGAGCCACCUCACACAUCGCUCGGUGCGCUUGUCCAACUAGACCACAACUCAAGCAGACACGUACGAAGAGCGAGAGGCGCAAGGUGCGGAGCCUGUCAACCGAGACAUGGGCCAUUGCAUCAAGACGGUCAAUGCCCAUGGCGACUAAAUCUCUGUGUUCUUAGUUGUGUGUGCAUAUGCUGUUUC